UCCCUGGUGGUCCAGUGGUUAAGAUUCUGCACUUCCCCUGCAGAGGGCACAGGGUUCGAUCCCUGGUCAGGGAA